CGACUCCACUGUGACACUUCAGGGAAGCCGUGCGGGAACGAUGCGGCCCUCUGACUGGCGGUUUUCGCCAAUGCCUUCAAAUUCGGUUUCCUUUUCUCCCCGCUCAGAGAACACCGUCCACGCAGCCUGGUUUGUCUUUCUGUAUUUGAAGGAGUCAACAGCUCCCAGGCUGACAGCAAACAGCCGAACAGGACUUUCACUUAUCCACACAAUGAAGAGAUGUCGGCAUUCAGCCCCGAAGAGGAGCUUCCUGGAUGUCUUCAUGAGGUUGCACAGAGGACUCACACCUCACAGAUCUCAGAACGUGGGUCUUUUCUGGGUGGCCAGACUGAAAAAUGUACUUUCUCGUGAGAGAGUCAGAAAAUCCUCCCCAGUGGCAUUGGAGACCGUUGCACCUGGGAGACUUGUUUUCUGCACCUGGGAACCAGUGAUCCAGCAUUUACCGAUUGCUACUGAAUCAAAGUCCCUGCACAAGAUGCUUCAGGGGACAAAAGAUGGACGAGACAUGGUCCUGGCUUUCAUACGUUAUUUCUCCUACUCAGCAGCAACAU